GCCCGCAUGGCUUAAUGGUAAAGCGCUUCACUAGUAAUGAAGAGAUUCUCAGUUCGAUUCUGAGUGUGGGCA
rnacentral:tRNA from 1 species